rnacentral:rRNA from 1 species
AAACAUGUCUUUUUGAGUUGUAUUUAAAGUCUGACCUGCCCACUGAAUAAUUUUAAAUGGCCGCAGUAUUUUGACUGUGCAAAGGUAGCAUAAUCAUUAGUCUUUUAAUUGAAGGCUGGUAUGAACGGUUGGACGAAGUAUAAGCUGUUUCAUAUAAAUUUAUAGUAGAAUUUUAUAUUUUAGUUAAAAAGCUAAAAUUUAGUUAAAAGACGAGAAGACCCUAUAAAUCUUUAUAAUUAGUUUUCAUUGAAUUUUUUUGAUUUAUUUUAUUUUUUAAAAAUUAAUUAUUUUGUUGGGGUGAUGUUAAAAUUUAAUGAACUUUUAAUUUAUUUAAAUCAUUAAUAUAUGAAUUAUUGAUCCAUUAAUAAUGAUUAUAAGAUUAAGUUACUUUAGGGAUAACAGCGUAAUUUUUUUUGAGAGUUCAUAUCGACAAAAAAGUUUGCGACCUCGAUGUUGGAUUAAGGUAUAAUUUUGGGUGUAGCUGUUCAAAAAUUAAGUCUGUUCGACUUUUAAAUCCUUACAUGAUC